AGCUGGUCUGUAGGUAGUAUGUUAUCUCAGUUGAUUGUUCAGUCAGUUACAGAUUGAACUCCUUGUUCUACUCUUUCCCCCUUCUCAAUGCUGCACUUGACUAGUCUUAA
rnacentral:Y_RNA from 1 species